GAUGAACGCUGGCGGCGUGCCUAAUACAUGCAAGUCGAGCGAACAGAUGAGGAGCUUGCUCCUCUGACGUUAGCGGCGGACGGGUGAGUAACACGUGGAUAACCUACCUAUAAGACUGGGAUAACUUCGGGAAACCGGAGCUAAUACCGGAUAAUAUAUUGAACCGCAUGGUUCAAUAGUGAAAGACGGUUUUGCUGUCACUUAUAGGUGGAUCCGCGCCGCAUUAGCUAGUUGGUAAGGUAACGGCUUACCAAGGCAACGAUGCGUAGCCGACCUGAGAGGGUGAUCGGCCACACUGGAACUGAGACACGGUCCAGACUCCUACGGGAGGCAGCAGUAGGGAAUCUUCCGCAAUGGGCGAAAGCUUGACGGAGCAACGCCGCGUGAGUGAUGAAGGUCUUCGGAUCGUAAAACUCUGUUAUUAGGGAAGAACAAAUGUGUAAGUAACUAUGCACGUCUUGACGGUACCUAAUCAGAAAGCCACGGCUAACUACGUG
rnacentral:rRNA from 1 species